CUGGCUUGUUGACGUGACUAAGUUAGCCGUAGUUGGCUAGCUAGCGAUAAGAACGUUGCCAGCCAGUACGGCAAUGGAACAUUUAGACCGAACGACUGGGUCGCGUCCAUAGAUACAGAACAAAUAGACUGAACGACUGGGUCGCGUCCAUAGAUACAGAACAAAUAGACUGAACGACUGGGUCCAUAGAUACAGAACAAAUAGACUGAACGACUGGGUCGCGUCCAUAGAUACAGAACAAAUAGACUGAACGACUGGGUCGCGUCCAUAGAUACAGAACAAAUAGACUGAACGACUGGGUCGCGUCCAUAGAUACAGAACAAAUAGACUGAACGACUGGGUCGCGUCCAUAGAUACAGAACAAAUAGACUGAACGACUGGGUCCAUAGAUACAGAACAAAUAGACUGAACGACUGGGUCGAGUCCCUGGCAACCCAACCGAUUUAAUGAACGACCAGCCUGCUUUGGUAGCAACCCUAGAUUUGUGUUGGGACUAUAUCUCGUGGAAGGUUGAAAUAGUAUGAAUAAAUUAAUAAAAAUAGCGUUUUUAAUGAAAAUAUGUCAAUCAUUAUUUGAAUGUGCUGGUAACCCGCUGUUUAAAAGUGAUAAUGCCCUGGAAGCCAAUAUAACUUUUAAAUAGGAAAUGACUGUAGGAGUCUAGCAGGAAGUUCACUAGUUAUCUCUGUGAGUCACAGUUAGAGGAGACAACGCAUGUCUCUUUAUGACCUCACUACUAUGGCCUGCAACACACUGCUAUACACUACUAUAUACUACUAUAUACUACUAUAUACUACACACUACUAUAUACUACUAUAUACUACUAUAUACUACUAUAUACUACUAUACAACACACUGCUAUAUACUACUAUAUACUACUAUAUACUACUAUACAACUACUAUAUACUACUACACACUACUAUAUACUGCUACACACUACUAUAUACUACUAUAUACUACUAUAUACUGCUAUAUACUACUAUAUACAACUACUAUACACUACUACACACUACUACACACUACAACAUACUACUCUGCUAUAUACUACUACACACUGCUAUAUACUACUUCACACUACUACACACUGCUAUACACUGCUACUACACACUACUACACGCUACUACACUGCUACUACACACUGCUACUACACACUGCUACUACACACUGCUACAGACUACAUUUACAUUUGAGUCAUUUAGCAGACGCUCUAAUCCAGAGCGAUUAACAGUAGUGAAUGCAUACAUUUCAUAAAUUUUUUUCCCCGUACUGGUCCCCCGUGGGAAUCGAAUCCACAACCCUGGCGUUGCAAACACCAUGCUCUACCAACUGAGCUACAGGGAAGACUCUUACUACACACUGCUAUACACUACUACACACUACAAUACACUACUAUACACUGCUAUGGCCUACUACACACUACUACACACUACUAUACACUACUAUACACUACUACACACUACUACACACCACUACACACUACUAUACACUACUAUGGCCUACUACACACUACUACACACUACUAUACACUACUACACACUACUAUACACUACUAUGGCCUACUACAUACUACUACACACUACUAUAUGCUACUACACACUGCUACACACUACUACACACUACAAUACACUACUAUACACUACAAUACACUAAUAUACACUACUAUACACUACUAUACACUACUAUACACUACUAUAUACUACUACACACUACUACACACUACUACACACUACAAUACACUACUAUACACUACUACACUACACUACUAUACACUACUAUAUACUACUACACACUGCUAUAUACUACUAUACACUACUAUACACUGCUAUAUACUACUACACACUACUAUACACUACUAUACACUGCUAUAUACUACUACACACUACUAUGGCCUACUACACAGUACUACACACUACUACACACUACUAUGGCCUACUACACAGUACUACACACUACUAUGGACUACUAAACACUACUACACACUACUAAACACUACUAUACACUGCUACACACUACUAAACACUACUAUACACUGCUACACACUACUACACACUACUACACACUACUACACACUACUAAACACUACUACACACUACUACACACUACUAUGGCCUACUACACACUACUACACACUACUACACACUACUAUGGCCUACUAAACACUACUACACACUGCUAUACAUUUCUACACACUACUGAACAUUUCUACACACUACUACACACUACUAUACACUACUACACACUACUACACACUACUAUGGCCUACUAAACACUACUAAACACUACUACACACUACUAUACACUACUACACACUACUGAACAUUUCUACACACUACUACACACUACUACACACUACUAUGGCCUACUAUACACUACUACACACUACUAUGGCCUACUAUACACUACUAUACACUACUACACACUACUAUGGCCUACUAAACACUACUACACACUACUACACACUACCACACACUACUACACACUACUAUACACUACUACACACUACUAUACACUACUAUACACUACUGAACAUUUCUACACACUACUACACACUACUACACACUACUACACACUACUAAACACUACUGAACAUUUCUACACACUACCACACAUUACUACACACUACUACACACUACUACACACUGCUACACACUACUAUACACGGCUACACACUACUACACACUACUACACCAUGGCGGACUUGGUGGUGUGAUUAUUAGUGGACAUUGGUACCACUGAACAGUGGCUGGUAAAACAAUAUCUCCCUUCUAAAGAGGUCUUUAAUCAACAUGACUUCAUGGAUAAAUAAAGGUUAAAUAAAGGUUAAACACGGAUAAAUAAAGGUUAUAUACAAAUAGAACCAAAUCGCUAAUGUGAUGCUAACGAUCUUCAUGUUUCUAUCAUGUUUAUAUCACGCUGAACAGGUACCUGUUUAUUUGUAGUGCUGUAUAGUCCAGAUGACUGUGGUGUGGAAGUGAAGGUUCAGGAUGACAUCACUACGGUACAAGUCUGGAAUAUCAGAAUGAAAAGAGGUUGUGCAUUCCAAAUGGCACCCUAUUUUCUUAUUUAGUGCACUGCCCUUGGUCAAAUGUAGUGCACUAUAUGUGGCAAAAGUGUUCCAUUUGGGACAUACCCAAACAUGAGCAGAUAGGUAUCGACUUCAUCUCGCUGUCCGUCUGCCAAACUGUGUUUGUUGUCUUCAUGGGAAAUUAACUGUAAGUUGUAUCUCUCAGAAAGAGAAAUGGCUUGUAUCAUAUAUCAUAGCUGUAGCCAAUGUCUGAUUUGGCACUGUAAGUAGCUGAUAUAAAUGCUUGGAAAAGUGGCCAAGAUUAUUCUUUAGAAGGUAGUUUGAGCUCUGAGGUCAUGGGGCCCUGUACUGUGGAGAUGGGCAGGUAGUUGGACAUGCAUCAUACGCCCUGUACUGUGGAGACUGGUAGGUAGAUGGACAUGCAUCAUACGCCCUGUACUGGGCAGGUAGUUGGACAUGCAUCAUACGCCCUGUACUGGGCAGGUAGUUGGAUAUGCAUCAUACGCCCUGUACUGUGGAGAUGGGCAGGUAGUUGGACAUGCAUCAUACGCCCUGUACUGUGGAGAUGGGCAGGUAGUUGGACAUGCAUCAUAUGCCCUGUACUGUGGAGAUGGGCAGGUAGUUGGACAUGCAUCAUACGCCCUGUACUGUGGAGAUGGGCAGGUAGUUGGACAUGCAUCAUACGCCCUGUACUGGGCAGGUAGUUGGACAUGCAUCAUACGCCCUGUACUGUGGAGAUGGGCAGGUAGUUGGACAUGCAUCAUACGCCCUGUACUGUGGAGAUGGGCAGGUAGUUGGACAUGCAUCAUACGCCCUGUACUGUGCAGAUGGGCAGGUAGUUGGACAUGCAUCAACUAAGCACAAACUGUACACAGUACUGAAGCUGCUAUAUCAUGAUGAAGCCAGGAUGUUUGCUUAGGGAGAGCGUGCAGGUGUACAUUGUAGCUGUGUGUGUGUGUGUGUGUGUGUGUGUGUGUGUGUGUGUGUGUGUGUGUGUGUGUGUGUGUGUGUGUGUGUGUGUGUGUGUGUGUGUGUGUGUGUGUGUGUGUGUGUGUGUGUGUGUGUGUGUCUGGUUUGUCUCUCCUCUAUCCAGUCCCUGGUUUGUCUCUCCUCUAUCCAGUCCCUGGUUUGGCUCUCCUCUGUCCAGUCUGGUUUGGCUCUCCUCUGUCCAGUCUGGUUUGGCUCUCCUCUGUCCAGUCUGGUUUGGCUCUCCUCUGUCCAGUCUGUUUUGGCUCUCCUCUGUCCAGUCUGGUUUGGCUCUCCUCUGUCCAGUCUCCUCUAUCCAGUCUGGUUUGGCUCUCCUCUGUCCAGUCUGGUUUGGCUCUCCUCUGUCCUUCCAUCUCCAGUUUCAACAGGCGUUGUAUCUUAAUACGGUGUUUAGUUAUUUACCCAUGUCUUCAAGUAGAUCUGUCUGUUUGACAGUCCAGGCUGUUAUUGCUGGGAAUGCCUUUCCUCUUGACCUCUCCUCCUCUGGCUGUGUGACUUCCUAGAAAACACAAGUAGCUCUGUGUGACUUCCUAGAAAACACAAGCAGCUGAAUCACAUCCUAUUUGCUGGAGCGUAAAUCAUAGUCCACAGAUGAUAGUCCAGCGUCCCGUUGCUACGCGGCUCUGAGACCACCAUCCACGGGGGGAUGCUCAGCCCGAAUGUGCACCUCCCCACAAUUCCCAACUCUUGUUACGUCUCCUCUAUUCAUUUGACUGUGUUGACAGACAGUUGGAGAAAUUGCUUGAGCUCCGUUGAGAAUUGGAAAAGUAUGAAAGCAACGUACCAAUAUUGUAGAACACUGCUUUUUGUACGCGUACAGGUUUUGGACUCUGAUAAAACACAUUACAGAACCAGUUCUAUCACGUCCAUAUUAGUAGAUGCAAUAUGCUUGCCUUGCAGUGAGGGGAGCAAAAUGGACUCUUAUGCUGUCAUGUUCUCCAUAGCAGCUCAUUAUAAAAUAUGACCAGUCGAUGUUAAAUAAGACUGUACAGAAACUGACCAUAAUUGAUGUCUAAUAAUCACUCAAACUCCCUUCAGGUCACUCAGUUCCACCCAGUGCUGUGUCUUUAAAAGUCUUUCAGUUGUUUUCAUGGCCCAGAACAUCUCUUUAAUCAAGUUGUUUUCAUGGCCCAGAACAUCUCUUUAAUCAAGUUGUUUUCAUGGCCCAGAACAUCUCUUUCAUGAAGUUGUUUUCAUGGCCCAGAACAUCUCUUUAAUCAAGUUGUUUUUAUGGCCCAGAACAUCUCUUUCAUGAAGUUGUUUUCAUGGCCCAGAACAUCUCUUUAAUGAAGUUGUUUUCAUGGCCCAGAACAUCUCUUUAAUGAAGUUGUUUUCAUGGCCCAGAACAUCUCUUUAAUGAAGUUGUUUUCAUGGCCCAGAACAUCUCUUUAAUCAAGUUGUUUUCAUGGCCCAGAACAUCUCUUUAAUCAAGUUGUUUUCAUGGCCCAGAACAUCUCUUUAAUGAAGUUGUUUUCAUGGCCCAGAACAUCUCUUUCAUGAAGUUGUUUUCAUGGCCCAGAACAUCUCUUUCAUGAAGUUGUUUUCGUGGCCCAGAACAUCUCUUUAAUCAAGUUGUUUUCAUGGCCCAGAACAUCUCUUUAAUGAAGUUGUAGGAUCCAGUUUAGGAUCCAGGGAGGUUAAUACUCAAUACAAUGGCCCAGGGCAGUGUUGGUCUAUGUACUUCAUACUACGACCCAGUAACUGGCUACCUGCUGUAUUCCACAUAGUAACACUAGCCAGGUACCCUCAGCUCUGAAACGCCAUGCUUCACUAGAUUUACCACAUAGUAACACUAGCCAGGUGCCCUCAGCUCUGAAACGCCAUGCUUCACUAGAUUUACCACAUAGUAACACUAGCCAGGUACCCUCAGCUCUGAAACACCAUGCUUCUCUGGAUAGAGCUACUCUGUCCUAAAUACAUACUAUAUUACUUGUUUUUCCUGAGGAGAGUACAUGGGGGGGAAAAAAACUUAUGUUGUUCUCUCUCUUUAGCUCUCACGCUGUAUCUCUCUCUCUCUCCCCGUAUGUGUGAGUCUUAUCCAACAGAGAGAUAAAAAGCCUUGAUUGGAUCAAAGAGAACGCUCUCUGGGAGUUCCAGACAGCUGAAUUCCUCCUAGAUCACAGACGCAGGUGUCUGCAAGGCAACAAGCAGCACCUUUGGGAGCAGGGAGAGUCUAGGGAGAACACUGGCAAUGAGGACUAGGAAGAUCAAAUCAAAUUGUAUUUGUCACAAGCAACAGGUGUAGACUUUUCAGUGAAACGCUUACUUACGAACCUAUUCCAAACAUCAACAAAAAACAACACACACAUAUUUGCUAAAUAUUAAAGAAAUAGUAACACAAUAAUAACAAUAAUGAGGCUAUAUGCAGGGAGUACUAUUACUGAGUCAAUGUGCAGGAAUACCAGGUAGUAGCAUGGCUAUAUACAGGGAGUACUAUUACUGAGUCAAUGUGCAGGAAUACCAGGUAGUAGCAUGGCUAUAUACAGGGAGUACUAUUACUGAGUCAAUGUGCAGGAAUACCAGGUAGUAGCAUGGCUAUAUACAGGGAGUACUAUUACUGAGUCAAUGUGCAGGAAUACCAGGUAGUAGCAUGGCUAUAUACAGGGAGUACUAUUACUGAGUCAAUGUGCAGGAAUACCAGGUAGUAGCAUGGCUAUAUACAGGGAGUACUGAGUCAAUGUGCAGGAAUACCAGGUAGUAACAUGGCUAUAUACAGGGAGUACUGAGUCAAUGUGCAGGAAUACCAGGUAGUAACAUGGCUAUAUACAGGGAGUACUGAGUCAAUGUGCAGGAAUACCAGGUAGUAACAUGGCUAUAUACAGGGAGUACUGAGUCAAUGUACAGGGGUACCAGGUAUUUGAGGUAGUUGAGGUAAUACAGUAUGAACAUGUGGGUAUGGGUAAAAGUGACUAGUCAAUCGAGAUAUACACUACAUGGCCAAAAGUAUGUGGACACCUGCUCGUCAAACAUCUCACUCUAAAAUCAUGGGCAUUAAUAUGGAGUUGGUCCCCCCUUUGCUGCUAUAACAGCCUCCACUCUUCUGGGAAGGCUUUCCACUAGAUGUUGGAACAUUGCUGCUAUAACAGCCUCCACUCUUCUGGGAAGGCUUUCCACUAGAUGUUGGAACAUUGCUGCUAUAACAGCCUCCACUCUUCUGGGAAGGCUUUCCACUAGAUGUUGGAACAUUGCUGCUAUAACAGCCUCUACUCUUCUGGGAAGGCUUUCCACUAGAUGUUGGAACAUUGCUGCGGGGACUUGCUUCUAUUCAGCCACAAGAGCAUUAGUGAGGUUGGGCACUGUUGGUUGAUUAGGCCUGGCUCUCAGUCGGCGUUGCAAUUCAACCCAGAGGUGUUCGAUGGGGUUGAGGUCAGGGCUCUGUGCAGGCCAGUCAAGUUCUUCCACACCAAUCUCGACAAACCAUUUCUGUAUGGACCUCGUUUUGUGCACGGGUGCAUUGUCAAGCUGAAACAGGAAAUGGCCUUCCCCGAACUGUUGCCACAAAGUUGGAAGCACAGAAUCGUCUAGAAUGUCAUUGUAUGCUGUAGCGUUAAGAUUUCCCUUCACUGGAACUAAGGAGCCUAGCCCGAACCAUGAAAAACAUGGUCCAAUGGCGGCGACCUUUACACCACUCCAGCCGAUGCUUGGCUUUACGCAUGUUGAUCUUUGGGUUGUGUGCAGCUUCUCGGCCAUGGAAAACCUGUUUCAUGAAGCUCUUGCCGAACAGUUUUUGUGCUGACGUUGCUUCCAGAGGCUACACGCUUCAGUACUCUGCUGUCCCGUUCUGUGACCUGGUGUGACCUACCACUUCAGCAAUCAAUCAAAUGUAUUUAUAAAGCCCUUCUUACAUCAGCUGAUGUCACAAAAUGCUGUACAGAAACCCCAAACAGCAAGCAAUGCAGGUGUAGAAGCACGGUGGCUAGGAAAAACUCCCUAGAAAGGCUAAAACCUAGGAAGAAACCUAGAGAGGAACCAGGCUAUGAGGGGUGGCCAGUCCUCUUCUGGCUGUGCCGGGUGGAGAUUAUAACAGCACAUGGCCUAGAUGUUCAAAUGUUCAUAAAUGACCAGCAGGGUCAGAUAAUAAUAAUCACAGUGGAUGUCGAGGGUGCAACAGGUCAGCACCUCAGGAGUAAAUGUCAGUUGGCUUUUCAGUUUUUCCACUUCAGUACUCUGCGGACCCGUUCUGUAAGCUGGUGUGACCUACCACUUUGCGGCUGAGCCGUUGUUACUUCUAGACAUUUCCACUUCACAAUAAUAGCAUUUACAGUUGACUGUGGCAGUUCUAGCAGGACAGAAAUUUGAUGAACUGACUUGUUGGCAAGGUGGCAUCCUAUGACGGUGCUGAGCUCUUACAGUAUUUUACAAUCACUUUGGCACUAAUUUCGGAAACCUUGAUGUCAUUUUUCAAAACUCUAGACACAAAACUCACAACCAAUGAUUAAAAUGCACAUUUUUCAAAACUCUUAACACUUUUUCCAAUUGCUUGGAUACAACACACAUAAAGCUAAGAUCAUUUAUUCAUUGAUCUAAAAAAAAAUCACCUGUUCAAAAUGACACAACUUAACAUCAAAGUAUUACGAUUUGUUCUGCUUUUUACAGCCAGGUGAGGAACACUGCAGUUGACGUUUUACUGUCGUUCUUUUCUUUUUUGUAGCUAAUUAUUUUUGCUUCGAUUCAAAGAAACCCAUGUUGUGAUUUUAUUGUAUUUCAUCAAUAAAUGUCAUAUUUUGUUCAGUGAUUCCACUGUGUCUGUAGUAUUUCUCUCUACUAGUCCCUUUACAGUGAUGUAUUUACGUGUAGUACCAUAUUGAAACAUGUAUCACAUAUUUUAUACUACAUUAUUUAAUGAUUGUACGAACAACUACACAGUGAAACUAUCGGUAUUUUGUGUGUGGGUGAUCUAAAUGAAUGUUCCUAUGGUAUUUCAUGAUUAAUUAGUUAUUUGAACCAAUGAUUCUGCAAGUGCAAGGUUUAUUUAAAGAUAUGAAUCCACAAUGCAAUGUUUUGAACAUUGGACAGCCUGUGUUACAAGCGAUGACCGUUUUGAAAAAUGACCACAAGGUUCUGAAAUUAGUGCCAAAGCGAUUGUAAAAAACUGUAAGUAAGGCCAUUCUACUGCCAAUGUUUGUCUAUGGAGAUUGCAUGGCGGGGUUCUCGACUUUAUACACCUGUCAGCAAAGGGUGUGGCUGAAAUAGUCAAAUCCCCUAAUUUGGCCAUGUAGUGUAUAACAAGCGUGUUUGUGUGUGUGUGUGUGUGUGUGUGUGUGUGUGUGUGUGUGUGUGUGUGUGUGUGUGUGUGUGUGUGUGUGUGUGUGUGUGUGUGUGUGUGUGUGUGUGUGUGUGUGUGUGUGUGUGUGUGUGUGUGCGUGGAGUCAGUGUAAAAAAAUAUAUAUAUAAACUUGGGGAUAGAAGCUGUUCAGCAGUCUGAUGGCUUGGGGGUAGAAGCUGUUCAGCAGUCUGAUGGCUUGGGGGUAGAAGCUGUUCAGCAGUCUGAUGGCUUGGGGGUAGAAGCUGUUCAGCAGUCUGAUGGCUUGGGGGUAGAAGCUGUUCAUCGGUCUGAUGGCUUGGGGGUAGAAGCUGUUCAGCAGUCUGAUGGCUUGGGGGUAGAAGCUGUUCAGCAGUCUGAUGGCUUGGGGGUAGAAGCUGUUCAGCAGUCUGAUGGCUUGGGGGUAGAAGCUGUUCAGCAGUCUGAUGGCUUGGGGGUAGAAGCUGUUCAGCAGUCUGAUGGCUUGGGGGUAGAAGCUGUUCAGCAGACUGGUGGCUUGGGGGUAGAAGCUGUUCGGGAGCCUUUUGGUCCCACAUUUGGCACUCUGGUACCGUUCGUUGUGCAGUAGCAAAAUAACUGUCUAUAGCUUAGGUGGCUGGAGUCUGACACCGCCUGAUAUAGAGGUCCCAGUGAUGUACUGGGCCAUAUUCACUACCUUCUGUAGAAGAGCCAAGGACUCACAUUAUACUGUAGUCCUCAGAGAGAGAGAGAGAGAGAGAGAGAGAGAGACCUCUUCUGUUCUGUUCUGUUUGGGGGACGAGCUGUGUCAGUCUGCCCGCCUGAUGUUAAAGUGCUUAAGGCAGUAGGUCUAUGACUGCUACAUGUUAGGACGGCAGUAAUGUAGUCUAGACAGUCUUCUGGUAGGUCUAUGACUGCUACAUGUUAGGACGGCAGGAAUGUAGUCUAGACAGUCUUCUGGUAGGUCUAUGACUGCUACAUGUUAGGACGGCAGGAAUGUAGUCUAGACAGUCUUCUGGUAGGUCUACGACUGCUACAUGUUAGGACGGCAGUAAUGUAGUCUAGACAGUCUUCUGGUAGGUCUAUGACUGCUACAUGUUAGGACGGCAGGAAUGUAGUCUAGACAGUCUUCCGGUAGGUCUAUGACUGCUACAUGUUAGGACGGCAGUAAUGUAGUCUAGACAGUCUUCCGGUAGGUCUAUGACUGCUACAUGUUAGGACGGCAGUAAUGUAGUCUAGACAGUCUUCUGGUAGGUCUAUGACUGCUACAUGCAGUCUUCUGGUAGGUCUAUGACGCUACAUGUUAGGACGGCAGUAAUGUAGUCUAGACAGUCUUCCGGUAGGUCUAUGACUGCUACAUGCAGUCUUCUGGUAGGUCUAUGACUGCUACAUGUUAGGACAGCAGUAAUGUAGUCUAGACAGUCUUCUGGUAGGUCUAUGACUGCUACAUGUUAGGACGGCAGUAAUGUAGUCCAGACAGUCUUCUGGUAGGUCUAUGACUGCUACAUGUUAGGACAGCAGUAAUGUAGUCCAGACAGUCUUCCGGUAGGUCUAUGACUGCUACAUGUUAGGACAGCAGUAAUGUAGUCCAGACAGUCUUCCGGUAGGCGUGUAAAUUGCUCAUGCGUGUAAAUGACAUGUCGUCACUGUGGUACUGUGUUCUAGUCUAGUUAGAGAGCGUCUUGCUUUGUAAUGUUUUAUAAUGAUCUCC
rnacentral:lncRNA from 1 species